rnacentral:rRNA from 1 species
AGUGAACGCUGGCGGUAGGCCUAACACAUGCAAGUCGAACGGCAGCACAGUAAGAGCUUGCUCUUACGGGUGGCGAGUGGCGGACGGGUGAGGAAUACAUCGGAAUCUACUUUUUCGUGGGGGAUAACGUAGGGAAACUUACGCUAAUACCGCAUACGACCUACGGGUGAAAGCAGGGGAUCUUCGGACCUUGCGCGAUUGAAUGAGCCGAUGUCGGAUUAGCUAGUUGGCGGGGUAAAGGCCCACCAAGGCGACGAUCCGUAGCUGGUCUGAGAGGAUGAUCACCCACAGGGGAACGGAGACACGGCCCAGACUCCGAGGGGAGGAAGCAGUGGGGAAUAGUGGACAAGGGGCGAAGGCCUGACCCACCCAUCCCGGGGGGGUAAAAAAGGCUUUGGGUUUAAAAACCCUUUUUGUGGGGAAAAAAAAGCAGCGGGUGAAUCCCCCCCUUUUCUGAGGGUACCAAAAAAAAAAGCCCCGGCUAACUUCGUG